rnacentral:rRNA from 1 species
AUUGAACGCUGGCGGAAUGCUUUACACAUGCAAGUCGAACGGCAGCACGGACUUCGGUCUGGUGGCGAGUGGCGAACGGGUGAGUAAUACAUCGGAACGUGCCCAGUCGUGGGGGAUAACGUAGCGAAAGCUACGCUAAUACCGCAUACGAUCUAAGGAUGAAAGCGGGGGAUCGCAAGACCCCGCGCGAUUGGGGCGGCCGAUGGCAGAUUAGGUAGUUGGUGGGGUAAAGGCUCACCAAGCCGACGAUCUGUAGCUGGUCUGAGAGGACGACCAGCACACUGGGACUGAGACACGGCCCAGACUCCUACGGGAGGCAGCAGUGGGGAAUUUUGGACAAUGGGCGCAAGCCUGAUCCAGCCAUUCCGCGUGCAGGAUGAAGGCCCUCGGGUUGUAAACUGCUUUUGUACGGAACGAAAAGGCUCUGGUUAAUACCUGGGGCUCAUGACGGUACCGUAAGAAUAAGCACCGGCUAACUACGUGCCAGCAGCCGCGGUAA